AGGUUGGGAUUUGCUGCAAGUAUG
rnacentral:miRNA from 14 species